GACGAACGCUGGCGGCGUGCUUAACACAUGCAAGUCGAGCGGUAAGGCCCUUUCGGGGGUACACGAGCGGCGAACGGGUGAGUAACACGUGGGUGACCUGCCCUCAGCUCUGGGAUAAGCCUGGGAAACCGGGUCUAAUACUGGAUAUGACUCCAUGACGCAUGUUGUGGGGUGAAAGCCUUGUGCGGCUGAGGAUGGGCCCGCGGCCUAUCAGCUUGUUGGUGGGGCAUGGCCUACCAAGGCGACGACGGGUAGCCGGCCUGAGAGGGCGACCGGCCACACUGGGACUGAGACACGGCCCAGACUCCUACGGGAGGCAGCAGU
rnacentral:rRNA from 1 species